CAGGAUCUGUCAUAUUGCAGCUUUCUAAGGAUUUCUGAAGAUUAACAUUGGCAUUUAAACAAUUAAAAACCAUCAGGAGUCUAUAAAAUUAGCACCAAUUAAGCACUGGGGUUGAUGUGAUUGACCAGUCCCCUCUCCUGAAAUUACUGGCCUGGCACCAAAAUUUGAAGCCAAUAUUAAUUUAAUUGAUUGAGAUUUGAACGUCAGAUAUAUAUAGAAUCAUAACAACACAAAAUGUUUGGAUCAGUGCAUUACCAUUACAAGAUUGAGACAUUGCCGACCUCACGCACUUCUCAUGAGGAACUCUGGAAGGAGCUUCAUGAGACCACUGCUGAGACACUUCUGAAAACAGAAAAGCCUUUGGAAAAUGGAUUAUAGCAGCGGCUCCAUAACGCGUCUGACAUCUGUCAUUUGACUGUGGCCAUUCUGGAGCACCACUUUUAGUCAAAUAGAUGAACCCCAGGACUUAUUCUUGCACCAGCAUGAUCGUUACCAGCGUCGCUUUCCUGGCACUUGUGCCAGUGGCACGUGAAAAGACAUUCGAGUGAGAUCGCUGCCAGUGCCGAUGGACUAGCUCCUGUGCAGGUGGCACGUAAAAUACAUCAUUUCGAGCAUGGCCGUUGCCAGUACCGCCUGACUGGCCUUCGUGCCGGUGGCACGUAAAAGCACCCACUACACUCACGGAGUGGUUGGCGUUAGGAAGGGCAUCCAGCUGUAGAAACUCUGCUAAAUCAGAUUGGAGCCUGGUGUAGCUUCCUGGUUCACCAGUCCUCCGUCAAAUCAUCCAACCCAUGCUAGUAUGGAAAGUGGACAUUAAACAAUGAUGAUGAUAGAUAAGAGAAAAUAUC